rnacentral:rRNA from 1 species
UACGUAGGGGGCAAGCGUUGUCCGGAAUCAUUGGGCGUAAAGCGCGCGUAGGCGGCCCGGUAAGUCCGUUGUGAAAGUCAAAGGCUCAACCUUUGAAUGCCGAUGGAUACUGCCGGGCUAGAGUCCGGAAGAGGCGAGUGGAAUUCCUGGUGUAGCGGUGAAAUGCGCAGAUAUCGGGAGGAACACCUAUGGCGAAGGCAGCUUGCUGGGACGGAACUGACGCUGAGACGCGAAAGCGUGGGGAGCAAACAGG